GAUGAACGCUGGCGGCGUGCCUAAUACAUGCAAGUCGAGCGAACGGACGAGAAGCUUGCUUCUCUGAUGUUAGCGGCGGACGGGUGAGUAACACGUGGAUAACCUACCUAUAAGACUGGGAUAACUUCGGGAAACCGUAGCUAAUACCGGAUAAUAUUUUGAACCGCAUGGUUCAAAAGUGAAAGACGGUCUUGCUGUCACUUAUAGAUGGAUCCCCGCUGCAUUAGCUAGUUGGUAAGGUAACGGCUUACCAAGGCAACGAUGCAUAGCCGACCUGAGAGGGUGAUCGGCCACACUGGAGCUGAGACACGGUCCAGACUCCUACGGGAGGCAGCAGUAGGGAAUCUUCCGCAAUGGGCGAAAGCCUGACGGAGCAACGCCGCGUGAGUGAUGAAGGUCUUCGGAUCGUAAAACUCUGUUAUUAGGGAAGAACAUAUGUGUAAGUAACUGUGCACAUCUUGACGGUACCUAAUCAGAAAGCCACGGCUAACUACGUG
rnacentral:rRNA from 1 species